rnacentral:lncRNA from 1 species
AAACUUAGUCUCCAGUGUGCAAGUACUUUUAUGUGUUUAACAAAUUAACUUGGAUGUAAAAAGCUUGUACAAAGUACCUACAAAGUAAUGCAUUACCUCGUAUGGUAACAAUAAAUAUUGUAGACACAAUAUUGCAGGACCUCGUAUAAUUAUUUGGACUUACAAACCUUAUUUUAGUAAAAUCGCAACGACUUUUAAAAAAAUCAAACUAUUUUUUCGAUGAAAUACAAUAUUAGGAUAAAUUUAUAACAGCAUUAAUAAUUAUUAAAUAUUUACUUACCUCAUUAACGUAAAAAAGGUAAUGGCAAAGCCAAAGAAGGACUUCUUAUGGCAGAAAACAAUGGCGACUGACGGAUACAAGGUACUGCAUUCAAAAAGACAACAACAAUUAUCCGAGGUAAUGAAUUUGCCUCUAGAAACCUGUAACGAAGUUAUGUGGAAUUUUUUAAACGUUUUUAAUAGAUGGCGCGAGCAAAACCCUAAAUAUUCAUGUAUAAAACCUAAAACCGAAAAAAUAUCACAUACGAGGUACUGCACUUUCGCCGUCGAUAU